rnacentral:lncRNA from 1 species
AAAUCCCUAAUUAAAAGCCUAAUAAAACACGCAAUUUCCCUCCUCUCUCUCUCUCUCUCCCACUUCGGUCUCUCCCUCUCGCCCCCUCCACCCUCCCGCCGCUUCCACCCUCCAGCCUCGCCUUCGGCCUCCGCGCUCCCAGCCUCGCCGUCGCCGCUACCUUAGCCCCUCUCUUUACUCGAAGUCCGGCGACUGCAUAUAUCUCGUAGCCUCCGCCCCUCUCUUUACUCGAAGUCCGGUGACCUCUGUCCUCUCCCUCGCCCGUCUCCACCUCGCCAGAAAUUAGGGCUCGUCUAUCUCUCGCAGCCUUUCUUCCCAUGGUCGCUUUUUUGCGAGGUAUGUUGAAUUUGUGGGAUCUGGAGUUUUUGAAGUUUGUUGGCCAUGGAAGUUUGAGAUUUUGAAUAUUGUUCGCAGAUUUGGGUUUCCUAUUGUUUGUGUUGAGUUUGUAGAAGCGGUGGGAGAUGGUUUGGAUGGUGGAGGGAUCUAAGUGGCGGUGGCGGUCGACGGAUGAAAGGUGGGAUUUGAGUUUUCGACGGAGGAAGUGUUUGUGGCGCCGGAGUUUUGUAAAGGGGAGGGCUGGUGUGGGCAUUUCUGUGUCGGCCACACCCAGUAGAAUGCCGGCGAGGCUUGAGUUGAGAUCUGACGAGGCGAAGGGGCGGUGGCGGCGGCGGCGGCGGCGGCGGCCUCGCCGGUGUUGAUGAAGAGGGGUGUUGAUGAAGAAGAAAGUUAAAAUUAAUUAGUAGUAACAUUAAACAUGUGGUCCCUACAACUUUUCUCCUAAUACAAUUCUCCUUAAUACCCGUGCCGAAAAGAAACGUGCCGUUAAUAACGGGACGGAGGGAGUACAUAGUUAUUAGAAAU